rnacentral:lncRNA from 1 species
GAGGAAUUCUUCAUUGUCAGGCUUUGCAGUACAAAGAAACAGAUAACGUCUGGGAAACCAUUCAUUUCCAUGCCUUUGAGGACAGAAAAUGACCAGGUACAAUCCCAGUCUCAGAAAACCAUGAAAGAGGACACAGAUGACCACCCUGAACAAGAUGCUGCAAAUGUUAAAUCAGAUGACAAUCAACAACACAUAAAAGCACCAUGCAACACCCCUCGUCUGAAAUCUGAAGCCCAUCUAAACAUUUUUGACCAAGAUAUCAGUGUGACUGUUGGUCCCUGUAAUGAAGAAAUUGAAGACGGAACCUUUCGUGUUUUGGGACUAAAAGCUUUGGUCCACCAGAGUGAGCCAUUGAGUGACAUGUUGUGGUCCCAUAAAGCUGCAGGACAGGACAUCCGUGAGGCCAUCAGCCAUUUUCACACUCGGUCGCAGUCACCUGCCAUUACUUCAGGGCAGCGUAUGAUUGGUUGUUGCCAUGACAAAAUCAGCCUCACCCCCUUCAGUCAUUGAAAGAGCCCACCAAGCAUUUGAGAAAGCCAGAAUGCAGAGACACCUUGCAGAGAAGGUAACUGAGCGCCACAUUGACCGUGAAGUAGCCAAGGGUCAUCGAGACAUCUUUAGAGAGGCUCGCAGAACAGAAGUGCAUCUGCGGCAGGAACGGGAAAGGGUGAAUAUGGAAAAAACGCUCAUUCUACAGAGAGCCAAGCUGGAGCAGGACAUCCAUCAUACGCGUCAGAAACAUGCCCAGUUUUUGGAAGAGAAGAGGAUGAGGAUCCAGGAGCAAGAGAUGGUUUGCAGUUUCAGCCAACAGCACAACUCUCUAGCGAGGGCAGUGCUCAGAUACAACACAUGGAAACGUGGUAACCAGCAAUAAAUGCAUGAUUGCUUUUGAUUAAACUCUCAGUUUAAUAUGACAUUUACAUAUUGGUUAGUUAGAACCCUUUGUGUACAGUAGCUUCAAAAGCAGAUUUACUGCACUAUAGUACAGAAUAGUAUAAUAUAAUAAAGUACUUACCAGAAGAUGUCUGCAGAGAUUACAUUAUAGACAUUAGGAUCUGCUCCUCUUUUCAAAAUCCAAAAUAUUACAUAACAGGAAUCCAAAAAUACUCCCAGUAAUACACAACCACCCCCGUCCGUCAUGCACAAGUAUUAAGGAACUAGUAUUAAGCCACCAACUUUACAUAACAAAUAAUUCCACAUUAACUGGGUCAUUAUUACACUCUUUAAAUAAGCACUUAAGAAAGAUUAACAGGAGAACAGAUUCAAAUCAUUGCAGUGCAAAAUAAAAUAUAUAUAUAUUACUUUUUGCUAUAGUUCUCAACAGUCGUAGUGUAACAGGAGGAUCUUUAAAUGCCAAGGAAAGUUU